rnacentral:rRNA from 1 species
GGGAUGGGACUAAGACAUGCUAGUCGUGCGCCUUCUAGCCACGCUGAAGGCGCGGCACACAGCUCAGUAACACGUGGCUAACCUGCCCUUGGGACGGGAACAACCCCGGGAAACUGGGGGCUAAUUCCCGAUAGGUAAAGAUUCCUGGAAUGGGUCUUCGCCCAAAAGACGUUUGGGUCACGCUUCCAGACGCUGCCCAAGGAUGGGGCCGCGGCCGAUCAGCUGUUGGUGAGGUAAUGGCUCACCAAACCUUUAACCGGUUCGGGCCGUGGGAGCGGUAGCCCGGAGAUGGGCACUGAACAAGGGCCCAGCCCUACGGGGCGCACAGUCGCGAAAACUUCGCAAUAAGCGAAAGCUUGACGGGGCCAUCCCGAGUGCCAUCUGCUGAGGAUGGCUUUUACCCAGUGCAGAUAGCUGGGGGAAUAAGGAGAGGGCAAGUCUGGUGUCAGCCGCCGCGGUAAUACCAGCUCUCCGAGUUGUGGGGAUGUUUAUUGAGCCUGAAGCAUCCGUACCGGCUGGGCAAGUCCCCUGUUAAAUCCAGCGACAAAUCGUUGGCCUGCGGGGGAUACUGCUCGGCUAGGGGCGGGAAGGCCGUCGGUAUUCUUGGGGUAGGGUGAAAUCCUAUAAUCCCAGAGGACCACCAGUGGCGAAGGCUGUCGGCUAGAACGCGCCCGACGGUGAGGGAUGAAAGCUGGGGGAGCGAAC